rnacentral:rRNA from 1 species
CCUACGGGAGUCAGCAGUGGGGAAUCUUGCGCAAUGGGCGAAAGCCUGACGCAGCCAUGCCGCGUGAAUGAUGAAGGUCUUAGGAUUGUAAAAUUCUUUCACCGGGGACGAUAAUGACGGUACCCGGAGAAGAAGCCCCGGCUAACUUCGUGCCAGCAGCCGCGGUAAUACGAAGGGGGCUAGCGUUGCUCGGAAUUACUGGGCGUAAAGGGAGCGUAGGCGGAUAGUUUAGUCAGAGGUGAAAGCCCAGGGCUCAACCUUGGAAUUGCCUUUGAUACUGGCUAUCUUGAGUGUGGGAGAGGUAUGUGGAACUCCGAGUGUAGAGGUGAAAUUCGUAGAUAUUCGGAAGAACACCAGUGGCGAAGGCGACAUACUGGCCCAUUACUGACGCUGAGGCUCGAAAGCGUGGGGAGCAAACAGGAUUAGAUACCCUGGUAGUCCACGCUGUAAACGAUGAGUGCUAGUUGUCGGCAUGCAUGCAUGUCGGUGACGCGAGCUACGACAUAAGUACACUCCGCCGUCGGGGAGGUACGGGUCGGCGAAGAAGUUAAAACUUAACAAAUAGAAGUUAGUACGGCGUGAGACGUGACCGAACGGACGACGACGAGGGAGGUUAGG